UUUUAGCAGUGAGGAAUAUUGGUCAAUAGCCUAACGGCUGAACCAGCAACUUGGAGGAAUGUAUAGCAAUAGCUACUUGCAUCAUUAUAAUGAUGAUGCAAGAUCGACUUUGUUUGAAUAAUUCUAUGUAGAUCUAUGAUAAUGACAUUUUCUGCCUAUGAGUCUUGACCAAAUUGCGUGCCAGCAGUCGCGGUAAUACGUAUAAGACUAGUGUUAUUCAUAUUUAAUCGGUUUAAAGGGUACCUAGACGGUAAAUCAGCUUUCAAACAAUUAAACUAAGAAGUUUAAAAAGGACUAAUUUACUAGAGUUACUUAUGAGGGGGUAUUAAAGUACUGCUGGUGUAGAGAUGAAAUUCCGUCAUACCUCUUUUCAAAAGAAAAACUAUGGCACAGGUAUAGGCGAAGGCAUCCCCUUAGGUGAUAACUGACGUUGAGGGACGAAGGCUUUGUGUAGCGAACAGGAUUAGGUACCCCAGUAGUCGAAGCAGAAAAUGAUGAAUGUCAUAGAUUAGAUGUAUAAGUUUACUCUAUAAAUGAAAAUGUAAGCAUUCCACCUCAAGAGUAAUUUGGCAACAUUGGAACUGAAAUCAUUAGACCGUUUCUGAAACCAGUAGUGAAGUAUGUUGUUUAAUUUGAUAAUCCGCAAAAAACCUUACCACAAUUUGAAUAUUUAUAUUACUUAUUGUAUUGUUAUUAAUUUUCUUCUAAUUUCACCUAGAAAAUCCAAAUGAAGAAGAUCCAAAUGAAGAUAACCCGAAUGAAGAUAAUCCAAAUGAAGAUAAUCCGAGUGAAAUAAUAGAAGGAUAUUAAUAAGGAGGCAGUAAGGUAUAUUUACAAGCGUUGCACGGCUGUCUUCAGUUAAUGUCGUGAGACUAUGGUUAGUUCCAUUAAAUUAACGUAAACCCUUACUUUAUUUUUAGAUAGAGUAGUUCCCCACUAUAUCGGAUUUGAUAAACAGGGACUAAGCAAGUCAUCAUGGC
rnacentral:rRNA from 1 species